rnacentral:rRNA from 1 species
UUGACGCUAGCGGCAGGCAUAAUACAUGCAAGUUGAACGGCAGCACAGGUAGCAAUACCGGGUGGCGAGUGGCGCACGGGUGCGUAACACGUAUGCAACCUACCCUAUACAGGCGAAUAACCUUUAGAAAUGAGGGCUAAUACGCCGUGGUAUUAUCUUGGGGCAUCUUGAGAUAAUUAAAGAUUUAUCGGUAUAGGAUGGGCAUGCGUCCCAUUAGUUAGUUGGUAGGGUAACGGCCUACCAAGGCUAUGAUGGGUAGGGG